ACGGAAGGGUUAAGGAGGCCACGGGCAGGUUUCCCUGCAGGGGUGGGGCAGCUGGGCAGGCACCACCCACCCCUGAGGCCCUUUAUCUCCUUUGGAGAUUUUCCUUUUACCGUGUGUUUAAUGCAAUCUUCAGUGAUGACCGUCUUUUUAAAGCCAUAGGUUUCCUUUAACUGUCGGGAGUCUACAGAUAUUCUCGACAUUCCAAAUGUAGGAUCUGGCCAGAUGAAAGGAAAGAGGCAACCGAUUAGGGAGAAGAUGGACUGUUGUUUUGAAAGAUGGAACAUCUCAGGAUGGGGAAGUAUUUGGUGAGCACCAUAUUGGAUUCUACCAAAUUACAAAUAUGUUCCAGGCUGCUUUCAUCUGCUACUUACAAAACCAACAAGUAAAACAAACAAACAAAAACCCAAAACUAAACAAAAAACAACAAAUGCCAAAGAAUACUCACAGAACUACCAAAUGAUUCCCUGAGCCCCUGAAUCAGAGGGAGCUGAAUCAUUCUGGCUGCUGAGUGCAGGGUGUUGGGAAAAAGUGCCAUUGUGUAAGUUAAGGAAAGGGUCAGAAAAUCCAAAAGACAGCAGAUGUGUUAAA